UACGCAGGAUGCAAGCGUUAUCCGGAUUUAUUGGGUUUAAAGGGAGCGUAGGCGGUCUUAUAAGUCAGUGGUGAAAUCCUAUCGCUUAACGAUAGACGUGCCAUUGAUACUGUAGGACUUGAGUACAGAUGCCGUUGGCGGAAUGUGUCAUGUAGCGGUGAAAUGCAUAGAUAUGACACAGAACACCGAUUGCGAAGGCAGCUGACGAAACUGUAACUGACGCUGAGGCUCGAAAGCGUGGGGAUCAAACAGG
rnacentral:rRNA from 1 species